rnacentral:rRNA from 1 species
GCACAACGCGAAGAACCUUACCACCUUUUGACAUGCCCGGACCGCCACAGAGAUGUGGCUUUCCCUUCGGGGACUGGGACACAGGUGCUGCAUGGCUGUCGUCAGCUCGUGUCGUGAGGUGUUGGGUUAAGUCCCGCAACGAGCGCAACCCUCGCCAUUAGUUGCCAUCAUUCAGUUGGGAACUCUAAUGGGACUGCCGGUGCUAAGCCGGAGGAAGGUGGGGAUGACGUCAAGUCCUCAUGGCCCUUACAGGGUGGGCUACACACGUGCUACAAUGGCGACUACAGAGGGUUAUCCUUAAAAGUCGUCUCAGUUCGGAUUGUCCUCUGCAACUCGAGGGCAUGAAGUUGGAAUCGCUAGUAAUCACGGAUCAGCAUGCCGCGGUGAAUACGUUCCCGGGUCUUGUACACACCG